GGUUGUGUAGAGUUUGAUGAGUGGGCGCCCCCUAGUGUCAGAAACAAAUAAGUGCAGCUUUAAUGUUGUCUUCAGAUUUAGACAUGUGAGAGUUUCAAUGAUUAGUCAACGUGGCUAACAGCUCCUAUCAGGUACAGGAGAACCAGAACCUCACCCUGGAGUGGACCUUCACCAUCAAACCUUACAUUUCUCUGAAGACUUCAAACAUUUUCUGUAGUACGUUCAACCCUCAGAAAUACUCAGUCAGGACGAGUCCAGUGUGAUAAAGAGGUCCUCAAAGAGGGACGGAUCAGACUGUCCUCACUCCGGACUGAAGACUCAGGCUGGUAUCAGUGUGUAGUUAAUACAGAGUAUGGGAGCAGCUUGGACACAUGUCAUCUUUUUUUUCUCAGCAGAACUUUGAGCAAACUAAGACCUGUAGUAAUCACAGAAACAUGAUCAAGUUUUUGUUUGUCUCCUUUUAGCAGCCAAGAACCAGAACAUGUCUUAGGGUGAGGCAGAGAGGACAAACACAGUGAUGGAAAGAUGGAAAUACAUCGUCAUUGCACUG